GUCCCUCAUUCAUGCACUCUUCCAUCUUUUUGCCAUUGUGCCAGCUCAAUUUAAAUGUAUCUGCUCUGUAUCUGUUCAAGUGGAGAUAAUCCAUGCAAAUCAGGAGCCGUGGCUCUCAAUGCCUGGUUCACAGAGAGGACUCAGCUUGAGGAGGUCACUCGUUCACAGCCGCUCCUCCCAUUAUAUUUUUCCCCUUAUUGCAGAACUGCUGUAUGUAUACAGCGACUGAAAGGACUCAAUUUACUGCAACUGCUGCCUGGCUUUACUUACAACUUUUUUUUUUUUUUUUUUUUUUUUUUUUUUUUUUAUAAAGGAACUUACCUCCAUCUGUCUUUUCAAGUUUCAGGGUAGAAAGGGUCCCUUUAACUCCUGAAGACAGUAAAUCACAGUCUGUGUGGUGGUUCUCAGAAGACACUGAACUGGAUGCUCUACAUAGCACCCUUGCCAAAAGGGUUCGGAAAUGACUUCCAGCUUCCCACAGUAAUAAAAUGGCACUGUUCGGCAUCUUCGAGGUAAUAAAAGUGAAUUUUUUCCAUUCUAGUAAA
rnacentral:sRNA from 1 species